rnacentral:rRNA from 1 species
UGCAGUCGAACGCGUCUUGGUUAUUGAUGUUAAGUGCUUGCAUUUAAUUGAUUUAACAUUGAGACGAGUGGCGAACUGGUGAGUAACACGUGGGUAACCUGCCCUUGAAGUAGGGGAUAACACUUGGAAACAGGUGCUAAUACCGUAUAACAACCAAAACCACCUGGUUUUGGUUUAAAAGAUGGCUUCGGCUAUCACUUUAGGAUGGACCCGCGGCGUAUUAGCUUGUUGGUAAGGUAACGGCCUACCAAGGCAAUGAUACGUAGCCGACCUGAGAGGGUAAUCGGCCACAUUGGGACUGAGACACGGCCCAAACUCCUACGGGAGGCAGCAGUAGGGAAUCUUCCACAAUGGACGAAAGUCUGAUGGAGCAACGCCGCGUGAGUGAUGAAGGGUUUCGGCUCGUAAAACUCUGUUGUUGGAGAAGAACAGGUGUGAGAGUAACUGUUCACAUCUUGACGGUAUCCAACCAGAAAGCCACGGCUAACUACGUGCCAGCAGCCGCGGUAAUACGUAGGUGGCAAGCGUUGUCCGGAUUUAUUGGGCGUAAAGCGAGCGCAGGCGGUUUCUUAGGUCUGAUGUGAAAGCCUUCGGCUUAACCGGAGAAGUGCAUCGGAAACCAGGAGACUUGAGUGCAGAAGAGGACAGUGGAACUCCAUGUGUAGCGGUGAAAUGCGUAGAUAUAUGGAAGAACACCAGUGGCGAAGGCGGCUGUCUGGUCUGUAACUGACGCUGAGGCUCGAAAGCAUGGGUAGCGAACAGGAUUAGAUACCCUGGUAGUCCAUGCCGUAAACGAUGAGUGCUAAGUGUUGGAGGGUUUCCGCCCUUCAGUACUGCAGCUAACGCAUUAAGCACUCCGCCUGGGGAGUACGACCGCAAGGUUGAAACUCAAAGGAAUUGACGGGGGCCCGCACAAGCGGUGGAGCAUGUGGU